CAUCAUAUAGAUCACAAUUUCAUGCAUAAUCAGUAACAUAAAACAUAUCAUAAAUUCGUAUUCAUUAACAAUAACUGAUUAUCACCGUUUCUCAUUUUUUCACCAGCCUAUUAAUAUCCAUGGGGAUCCAUAGGGGUGUCUCCACUACACGUGAACCAUUAUCCCUAACUAUCUUAAUUCCAUAACCGUUCCCAUACCCCGUCCGGUAUGAAGGUGAAGUGGGCCGCCCUCAUACCCCCUCCGGUAUGAGCACCAAAUGACCAAGUCUUCAUAUCCCAUCUGGUAUAAGACAACACUCACGGUAGGGUUCCCUAUGAACCCGAU
rnacentral:lncRNA from 1 species